rnacentral:rRNA from 1 species
UACGUAGGGUGCAAGCGUUGUCCGGAAUUAUUGGGCGUAAAGAGCUCGUAGGCGGUCUGUUGCGUCGGCUGUGAAAACCCGGGGCUCAACCCCGGGCCUGCAGCCGAUACGGGCAGACUAGAGGUAUGCAGGGGAGAACGGAAUUCCUGGUGUAGCGGUGAAAUGCGUAGAUAUCUGGAGGAAUACCGGUGGCGAAGGCGCAUCCUGGACCGGCAUUGACGCUGAGGAGCGAAAGCCAGGGGAGCAAAGCGGGG